rnacentral:other from 1 species
AACAUCCUGCGGUGUGCGUGGCAAAUGGGCUUCUUUUGAACCCACAUUUUUGAAACGGGACGCCGAGCUCCUGCGGUGGAUUGCAGGCCUCCCGGCGCGGUUUCGGACCGCGUUGGAAGUUGGAAGCGAGGUAACUGCGGGGAGGUGACCCACCUGCCGAGUCGUGCAGGUUUCAAACGAGUCCCCACGGCAUUGCGGGUAGGGC